CGAGGCAUGUGCACACCCUGCUCAUCCACUCUCAACCUCUGUGCACUUGUUGUAGGUCGGCGGAAAGGCUCAGUGGCAACACAUUGAGUCUGGAAACCUUCCUAUGUUUUAUUACAAACGCUUCAAUUAAAGAAUGUUACUCUGCCUAUAACGCAUCUAUAUACAACUUUCACCAACUGAUCUCUUGGCUCUCGCAUCGAUGAACAAGGCAGCGAAAUGCGAUAAGUAAUGUGAAUUGCAGAAUUCAGUGAAUCAUCUAAUCUUUGAACGCACCUUGCGCUCCCUGGAAUUCCGGGGAGCACCCCCGUUUGACUGACAUGGAAUUCUCAACCUCUAUAACUUUUGUUACUGAGGCUUGAACUUGGAGGUUGUGCUGGCUCUCGUUAGUCGGCUCCUCUUAAAUGCAUUAUCGUGAACGUUACCGAUCGAUAUCAGUGUGAUAAUUAUCUGCGCUG
rnacentral:sRNA from 1 species